UACGGAGGGUGCGAGCGUUGUCCGGAAUCAUUGGGCGUAAAGGGCGCGUAGGUGGCCCGGUCAGUCUUUGGUGAAAGCGCGGGGCUCAACCCUGCGUCGGCCAGGGAUACUGCCGCGGCUCGAGCACUGUAGAGGCAGGCGGAAUUCCGGGUGUAGCGGUGAAAUGCGCAGAUAUCAGGAGGAACACCGGUGGCGAAGGCGGGUCUCUGGGCCGAUACUGACGCUGAGGAGCGAAAGCGUGGGGAGCGAACAGG
rnacentral:rRNA from 1 species